GAUGAACGCUGGCGGCGUGCCUAACACAUGCAAGUCGAACGGAGAUUAGACGCUGAUGAGGCUUCGGCGGAUUCUUGUUUAAUCUUAGUGGCGGACGGGUGAGUAACGCGUGGGCAACCUGCCUCGUACUGGGGGAUAGCAGUUGGAAACGACUGAUAAUACCGCAUAAGCGCACAAGGUCGCAUGACCUGGUGUGAAAAACUCCGGUGGUACGAGAUGGGCCCGCGUCAGAUUAGCUAGUUGGUGAGGUAACGGCCCACCAAGGCGACGAUCUGUAGCCGGACUGAGAGGUCGGACGGCCACAUUGGGACUGAGACACGGCCCAAACUCC
rnacentral:rRNA from 1 species